rnacentral:tRNA from 1 species
GGGCCCGUAGCUUAGCCAGGUAGAGCGCCCUGGGGCGAAAGCCCCGCGUAAGGCUCAUAAGGUAUAAACCGGAGAUACCGGGAGGUCCCGGGUUCAAAUCCCGGCGGGCCCA